CUCAACUUUUAUUUCUCUCUUGAACCACACUACCUUCUCUGUCAAUCAAAACCAAAAAGAACCCUAUAUCUAUAUCAACCCUAAUCCAGCUCUAUCUCCCUAGCUUUUUCUUCAAUUGGUACCAUUUCACAUCAAGUUACCGUUAGAAGCAAGAGUUGAAGAGGCAUGGAGAUAAAUCAGAACGUUGUGAAAUGAGUAUUUUGAAGUCUGCAUCAAUGGUACAUGCAAUACUGAAGUACGAGCCAAGGACAAGGAGAAAAAGGAGCACAACAGUCUGUGGAAAUGCCUAAACCUGGUUUAAUACCAGCAGUAUCGUAUUCUCAAACUGGAUGUUCCAUCUCGAAUAGUUACCACGUCCUUCCUCUGAAUUACUGCUUGAGCAUUGCCAAACCCUACAACAUAUAAAAUCUUUGUGCAUAACCGUGUCAUACUCUGAGUAAACAUAUUUGCUAGCUGAAAUUGUUGUUCCACUGCGCAUCUCAAUAUCUGCAGAACUGUGUGCUUGUGUGCAUUCAUCCCUGAUCGGAUUUUCCUAAGCCCUUGUUUCCCUGACCUGCUGAUCACAUAUUGACUCUGUUUGCAUGAUUUUGAAAACUAGCUUUUGAUUUCUCAUAAGUUUUGAUUCACUGCAUUAUGAUUUUCUCA